rnacentral:rRNA from 1 species
GGGCCCGCACAAGCGGUGGAGUAUGUGGUUUAAUUCGAUGCAACGCGAAGAACCUUACCAGGGUUUGACAUCCUGCGAAUCUCUUGGAAACGAGAGAGUGCCUUCGGGAACGCAGUGACAGGUGGUGCAUGGCUGUCGUCAGCUCGUGUCGUGAGAUGUUGGGUUAAGUCCCGCAACGAGCGCAACCCACGUCGUUAGUUGCCAGCAUUUAGUUGGGCACUCUAGCGAGACCGCCGGUGAUAAACCGGAGGAAGGUGUGGAUGACGUCAAGUCAUCAUGCCCCUUACAUCCUGGGCUACACACGUACUACAAUGGUAGGUACAGAGGGAAGCCACCCCGCGAGGGGGAGCG